GCGUACCAUUAGCUUGUUGGUGGGGUAACGGCUCACCAAGGCUACGAUGGUUAGCUGGUCUGAGAGGAUGAUCAGCCACACUGGAACUGAAACACGGUCCAGACUCCUACGGGAGGCAGCAGUGAGGAAUUUUGCGCAAUGGGGGAAACCCUGACGCAGCAACGCCGCGUGAGUGAAGAAGGCUUUCGGGUCGUAAAGCUCUGUCAAGUGGGAAAAAAGUCUGAUGAUUAAUAGUUGUCAGAUUUGAUGGUACCACUGGAGGAAGCACCGGCUAACUCCGUGCCAGCAGCCGCGGUAAUACGGAGGGUGCAAGCGUUGUUCGGAAUUACUGGGCGUAAAGGGCGUGCAGGCGGGUUGGUAAGUCAGAUGUGAAAGCCCUGGGCUUAACCCAGGAAGUGCAUUUGAAACUGCCAUCCUAGAGUAUGGGAGAGGAGAGUGGAAUUCCCAAUGUAGAGGUGAAAUUCGUAGAUAUUGGGAGGAACACCCGUGGCGAAGGCGACUCUCUGGACCAAUACUGACGCUGAGACGCGAAAGCGUGGGAGCAAACAGGAUUAGAUACCCUGGUAGUCCACGCUGUAAACGAUGAGAACUAGGUGUAGCGGGUAUUGACCCCUGCUGUGCCGAAGUUAACGCAUUAAGUUCUCCGCCUGGGGAGUACGGCCGCAAGGCUAAAACUCAAAGGAAUUGACGGGGGCCCGCACAAGCGGUGGAGCAUGUGGUUUAAUUCGACGCAACGCGAAGAACCUUACCUGGGUUUGACAUCCUUUGACAGUCCCGGAAACGGGAUCUUUCCGACUUUGUCGGAACAGAGUGACAGGUGCUGCAUGGCUGUCGUCAGCUCGUGUCGUGAGAUGUUGGGUUAAGUCCCGCAACGAGCGUAACCCUUGUCUUUAGUUGCCAGUAUUUAGUUAGGCACUCUAAAGAGACUGCCUCGGUUAACGGGGAGGAAGGUGGGGAUGACGUCAAGUCCUCAUGGCCUUUAUACCCAGGGCUACACACGUGCUACAAUGGGCUGUACAAAGGGUAGCUAAUUCGCGAGGAAGCGCUAAUCCCAAAAAGCAGCUCUCAGUUCGGAUUGGAGUCUGCAACUCGACUCCAUGAAGGUGGAAUCGCUAGUAAUCGUGGAUCAGCACGCCACGGUGAAUACGUUCCCGGGCCUUGUACACACCGCCCGUCACACCACGAAAGUCGACUGUACCAGAAGUUGCUGGGCUAACUCCGUUUACGGGGAGGCAGGUACCUAAGGUACGGCCGGUAAUUGGGGUGAAGUCGUAACAAGGUA
rnacentral:rRNA from 1 species